CAGCUCUGUCACUGAAAAGUUACCCCUGCCAGGUGUUGCCUGCAGAGGAAUCACCUCGCUGGGCAGGAGAGUCUGAAGAAGUAUGAGGAGGGUCGUCAGAGUGAGAUCCUGGGAGCAGAAACACACAUUCACCCUCACACCUCUCCAGGUUGGAACAGUGUCCCGGUGACUGCAGUCCGACUUCAGCCCGAUUUGACAUUGGGAGAUUCUCCAUAAUUCACUACUUCCCAAAGUACCUGAAAAGACAAUUUACAAAAGAGGAACUUGGCUCAUCGACUGAUGCACGUAAAACAGGUAAUGGCGACUAUUAAAGGGCUUCCCAUCCCAUCCAAGCCCUGCUCCAAGUCUGCAUCUGGUAAACAUCCUACAGGAGCGCCCCAAGCCUCCUAAGAGAAGUCUGGGCUGACCCUGAGGCCGGAAGACAGUCUUCAACUUCCAAGGGGCCCAGCAAAGCAUCACCUGGAUCCAUGUCUGUGCGUGAGUGGGUGCGGGAUGAUGGCCCGCGAGCAGAUCAGUCGGCAGAGAAUGCUGGUGGCUGAGGGCGGCAAGAGCCAUCGGGAGCUGUAGCAGCAAGAACUGCUAGAACCUGGUGGUUACUCAGCAGCGUGUGGCCUGCAUUCUACUUUCCCCCACACAGGCCCCUGAACUUCUUGGAAAGCAAUGCAGCACACAUGGGAGGGAACCACAGGUCCCAAAGCCAGUGAGAGCUGGGGCCCAGAAGGCUGCCUUUGUCCUGGAAGAGGAGCUCCUUCCCCUUUCUCACCUGGCAGAGGAGCCCAGGGUGGUGCUACGAUCCCUGUUCAAACUUCUUAGGGAUUAGAUUUGACCGCCCCCUCACCUCCCCCUUAUCUCCCUCCCAACGAGCAGGAGGACUGUGAACCUCAUUACAGAAUUCAGUCACAUUGAGGUGAGUCAACAGGUGUGUUGUGUUCUCCUCUGAGCUUUUGUGAUAAAAUUUUCUGCACCUUAAGCUAUUUAUUAUGCAUUUUUUUCAACAUAAAAGUAGAGGGGAUAGUAUAAAGAGUCCCAUUUACCCAUCAUCUAGAUAUAACCAUUAACAUCUCACCAUAUGCUAGAGUCUGAGUGAUUAUAGGCACCCCCAUCAAUUCAUAGGUUGAAAACUGACCCGGAACAUGAUAUUAGGAGGUGGGACCUUUGGGAGGUGAUUAAGUUAUGAGGAUGGGGCCCUCAUAAAUGGGUAAGCACCCUUAUAAAAGAGAUCCAAGUGAGCUCUCUCACCCUGUCUGCCACCAGAGGUCACAGUGAGAAGACACCAUCUGUGAACCAGGUGGCAGGCACUCAUUAAAUACCAGAUCCGCCGGCACCCUGACCUUGUAUUUCCAGCCUCCAGGACAUCGAGAAGUAGAUUUUGUUGUUCAUAACCAGACUACAUUAUUCUGUUAUAGGAGACCGAGUGGACUAAGACACCAUAUUUGCUUCAUGAGGCUUUAUUUCUUCAGUAUUUUAAAAUAAAUCAUAGACAUCGUAUUUCAUCCCCAAAUAGUUCGGUAUGUACUUUUUGAAAGAUGAGGAUGUUGUCUUAUAUAACCACAACACCAUUAUCACAAUAUCAAAAUUAAUAAUAAAUUCCUAAAUAUUUUCUGAUGCCCAGUCCAAACUCAAAUUUCCUUGAUCUAUGCCAAGAUAUCUUCUAUAGUUGGUACGUUUGAAUCGGGAUCCAAACAAGGUCCACACAUUGCAUAUGGCUGUUAUGUGUCUAGCUGCUUUAAUGUAAGAGAAUCACUUUGAAGUAUUCACCAGUGGGUUGUUCUCACCCGCCCCUCUGUCCUGGGCUUCAGCAAAUCUCUCCAGGUAUACCCCGAGGGCCCUUCCCAGCAGUCCAGGCAGGCCACCAGACCUGGACUGACCGGGGUCUGGAGGAGGCAGCCUUGGCAUGCAACCAGAAACACGGGGUUUCAAAAUUUCAGCUAUGAAGCAUGACAUUUGGAAAAAUGUAUGAUGAAAUUUCUGUGCCCUGGAUCCGGACAAGAUAUAGCUUCUUCCUGGAGGAGGGAGAGAGAAGAAGGAUGCCAGGGUAGAAGCGGAACUGAGAGGGAGAGCACUCCAUGAGUCAUGGGCCCGGGCAAAGGGGCUCUAUCUGUCCUUUGUGCCGAGGAGCUGGGCAGCUGGCCUCCUCGGGGUCCUCAGCUGAGCACUGCCCUUGAUAGUUCCUUUUGUUUGUUCGGUGGGAGGGACACCCAUCUCUUCCAGGGGAGCUUUGCAGCCAAAGGGCCACAGCACAGGGAUGCUCCCUGCUUGGGGAGGGGGACCCCGGCUACCUAGAGGGUUGGUGGUGCUGGGAAGGGGGCCUCUCCCAUCCCCCCUUCACCCCAGCAGGCCAGCACCGUGGUAAGGGCAUCCAGUCAGCGGGGUCAGGUGACACGCACCCUCUCCGUCUCUGAAGGGCUGCCUGGUCAACGGCAUCCUUGUGUGCUCCCUCUGAGAGUUCAGCCAUAUGCUAGGUUGAUUUCUUCCAAAUCUGAAACUUUGAUCAAAGAGUAGCAUUUCUUAUGUGGGGGGAGAGUGCCUGAAGCCUGAGCUUUGUCCCCCAGCACUAUAUUCCAGCUUCAACUAUGCCCUAAACCCCUUGGACCAGAACUGUGUUUGUGAACCCCUAGAGAAGCGGCCCCCCGAGACCCUGGAGCCAGAGUGGAGAGGGUGUGAGCCAACACCCAGAUGACAGCUGUUCUCUUGGCCUUCCGGAGUCCUGGCUGCCUUCUGUCUGCGCCUGUGUGAAAACUGGCUCCUGAGGGAAUACUCAUCUUCUUUGAUGACCAGGAAUCCGCCUCCACCUUCACUGGGGAGCCCCAUGAAAGCCUCAGAAAAUAUCUUCUGUGUGUCGAAUGAUGUGCAAGGACCAUCAGAAAGCAAGGACAUUUUGCUUUGGAAAAUUGGAUGCCUUUCUCGGCCCCCCAGCACAGAAAUGUGCUGUGUUGGCUUUCUCAAAAAGAUUUUAGAAGCUCUCUAAUGAGCUGGAAUUAAAGUGUCCCUUUACUAAUUUGGUUUUACAGGUCACUGGAUAAAACCUACUUAGAGUGGUUUGAAGAGGAUUAGGACAUUUGCGUCUCUUCCAAGUUGACUUUCCAGGCAGGGUCAGUCAGCAGCUGGAGACUCCCUUGGCUAGAGGCCAGAGCCCUUUUGUAAGCUGCAAGUUUGUAAGGGCCCGGUGAGCACACUGUAAGGCUAUUACCCAAGAAAUGGAAAGUUUGCAGGGAAAUGAAAAUGUAAAUGCAUAAAAGCAAGGCACACAUUCCUGAGUUUGCGGGCCUAGAAGCAUGCCGGAAAGGCCGGCACUGCCGUUCCACAGGGCAAAGCAAACAGUAGAGGCCGCCGACCCACGCUCCAAACUUCUCUUGGGGCAGUGUGGGCUUCGAGAGCUCCAGAAUGGCCUUACGCUCAGGAAGUUCCCAAAGACUGAUACUGGGGCUAUUACAGUCAAUAUUAAAUACAAUUUAAAAUGUUUUUUUCAGGGGCGCCUGGGUGGCUCAGUGGGUUAAGCCGCUGCCUUCGGCUCAGGUCAUGAUCCCAGGGUCCUGGGAUCGAGCCCUGCAACAGGCUCCUUGCUCAGCAGGGAGCCUGCCUCUCUCUCCGCCUCUGCCUGCCUCUCUGCCUGCUUGUGCACUUGGUGGUGCUGGGAAGGGAGCCUCUCCCAGCCUACCUCCCCGGCAAAUAAAUAAAUAAAAUUUGACAAAUAAAUAAAUAAAAUCUUAAA